AAUUGUCACAACUGUCGUCUCCCCCUCACGUCGCAGCUCUUAAUCUUCCUCCCACUGCCCCUAUCGUCGGUCGUCGUUAUUCCACUUGCCGGGGGCCACAACGCCAGCCUCGAUCGCGCACAGAGGCACACUCCACCAAGGAGCGACAUGAGGAGAGAUGACAGGUGCGGAGAUGGGGUCAGUGUUGCUGCAAACAAUGUGGCUGAAGAGUGAGGUGGAUGCCACCGUCUGCGAUAAGCCUCGACAAGGUCCUUGUUCUCUGAUUUGGUCGUGCCACCAACGUCGAUUGUCUCCACCUAGAUGACAUCGUACUGAAGCAAUUGAAGGGCAAAGCAUUAAAGAGAGCGGGGCUGACUAAAUAAAAAUUGCAAGAGCAGAUUGAGCAGAGAAACAUUGCAAGGAAGAUUAAGCAGUUUGGGCAUCGUUCUGAUGGAUGAACCUUCCGGUACAAUGUGUAGACCAUGCGAACCAGAACGAUAUGAAGAGUCAUGAUUAUACGCUCACCCUCACAACAAAAUGAUGGUAAAAUGAGAUUUUUGUCUGAGGGCAGUUGCACAUUUUGAAAACUAACAAAAUAGCCAUCUCUAGAUGCAGUGUUCUGCUGGGUAGGGGGUCCAGGUUGACUCGCCAGAUGAAACUUGCAUUUCUGGUUGUGUAAGAAGCAAUGUCCAUGCAGGGUAGGGGGUCUUUGUUGUUGUGCUUGCAUUUCUCAAACUGUUUGUAGGAAUGACCGAUUAUGCACCCUCGCGUCCAGAAAGAAAUGCCAAAUUGAUUUACUGGCCCUACAUCUUAAUUCGUUCCUAAGAAUGCACUAGAGAGUAGAAUCCUUGAUUUUCCUGUCGCUUUUCUUUUUUAAGAUGAACGCAAGAUCACUAAAUGGACGGAGGUCUAUUUGUUUUUUAUGGUUAUAGGAUACUAAACAAGUGGAGUUCCUCAAUAAAGUUCCUAAAAGAGUCAAGUAUUUUGCCUA